ensembl:lncRNA
GUGAAAGUUCUAUCCUCUUGUGUCAAUCCUGAUGAAUUUGUUGGUCUUUUUAACAGUACUUGCAUUGCUACCUUGGACUCAGUUUCCCCCCUUAGGUCACAAAGACCCAAGGUGAUGCAUAAAGCCCAUGGUUUUUCCUGAUACCAAUAUACCGGAGUUUUGAAUGAUUUCCAAACCCCUUAUGUCAGCUAAUGUGCGUCUCGUCGCUUCGCUCAUUUCAAAGCUUCUAUACUUUAUAGUGAUCCUUAUAAUCGAGUUUCAGGUAGUUUCCAAUCCCCUUAUUUUGCCAUAGCUUGGUUUCCAUUUUUAAAAAACUAACUUCUGCUUUUCUGUGUCAUUUCUGAGCUGACUUUCAUCGAGAGAGGAUCUUGCCUGUAUUGCUCUUUAUUUUUCCUUAAUCAUGGCUGAAUGUUAACUUUUUUGUUCCUCCCUCCUUUGAGGAUCUGGGCUUUGACCUGAACACUCGCUACCAGCUUGCACAUCUUUCUGCGGAUUUGGCCCUCCUGAUUGAGGUUCUACGCACUCCCUCUGUCGCCUCUGGGUUUCCACCAACUCUGAGAUACAGAAUCAGUCCAGCUAAGGUAUAUGUGGAUGCUUCCACACAGACUGAUCCCUUUUUCACUGCUUCACCCGACAACUCCUCUGACCAACAUGCUGAUGACGACAUGACAUAUUCUGAUCCUGGCUCUGACCUCUCUCCUCCCUACAAUCCUGCCAGCCCCGACUUUUCUCCUGAUCGCUCCCCUUACCGUCAACCCCCUUCUCCUACUGAUUACUCUCCCACCAGUCCAGUUUAUCCCUAAUAAAAUAAAUUGUUUCUUAUACAUUGUCUUGUGUUUUAUUUCGUAUCUGAUGUACAUCCAACAGUUUCUUAUAUAAAGUACACAAACUGUCCUUUAGAUGUUUUGCUUUCACACAUUUUUAAAGAGGCUUUCCCAGUUUUAAUCCUGCUGGAUUUAAGCACAGACUUUGAUAAAGUAUGUGGCUGGGUUUCAGGGACCUGUAUAUCUUAAGGGGAGAACUAUUUCUGUUAAUGUAGGAAAUUGUUUCUCAUUUCAUGCACAGAUCUCUUAUGCUGUGUUUCCUCAGGGUUGCAUUUUAGGACCUCUUUUUUUGCUCUAUAUGCACUUCUCCUUGGUCACAUCAUUCAUAUCACUGUUACGCUGAUAACACAGCUUUAUUUUCCUGUAAAUUCGAAUAAUAGCUGUUCUCUGUAAAAUCUGUUUGAAUGUCUGACAUUAAAUGCUGGACGGACAUGAAUUUUUACAGCUAAAUUGUGAUAAAACUGAAAAUUGUUUGGCCCAUCCCUCUCAACUACUGCUAUUUUCAAUCAGUUAGUGCCUCUGUCUACCAAUAUGCACAACUGUGUCAAAAACCUUGGUGUCAUUCUCAGGGGUGGGCAAUCUUAUCUGGAAAGGGCCGGUAUGGGUGCAGGUUUUCAUUCCAACAAAGCAGAAGCCACACCUAAAUCUAUUGAAAGCCAAGAUCAACUGAUUAAACAGGUGGAAUCAGGUGUCCCUCCUGCUAUCAAACUAUUAGAAUAAAGAAUUUAUAAUACAGAAGUGUCGACCUUCUGAAAAGUAUGUUAAUUUAUGCACUCAAUACUUGGUCGGGGCUCCUUUUGCACAAAUUACUGCAUCAAUGCAGCGUGGCAUGGAGGCAAUCAGCCUGUGGCACUGCUGAGGUGUUCUAGAAGCCCAGGUUGCUUUGAUGGCAGCCUUCAGCUCGUCUGUAUUGUUGGCUCUGGUGUCUCUCACAGAUUCUCUAUGGUGUUCAGGUCAGGCAAGUAGGCUCGCCAAUCAAUCAAGCACAGUAAUACCAUGGUCAGCAAACCCAUUAAUAGUAGUUUUGGCACUGUGGGCAGGUGCAAAGUCCUGCUGGAAAAGGAAAUCAGCAUCUCCAUGAAGCUCGUCAGCAGAUGGAAGCAUGAAGUGCUCUAAAAUCUCUUGGUAGACGCUGCAUUGACUCUUGACUUGAGAAAACACAGUGAACCAACACCAGCAGAUGACAUGGCACCCCACAUCACUGACUGUGGAAACUUCACACUGGACUUCAAGCAACUUGGAUUCUGUGCCUCUCCACUCUUCCUCCAGACU